rnacentral:rRNA from 1 species
AAGACAUGCAAGUCGUACGUGAAAGUUAGCAAUAAUGAGUAAAGUGGCGCACGGGUGAGUAAUAUUUAGGUAACGUACCCUUCCGCUGUGGAUAACCAGACGAAAGUUUGGCUAAUACAGAAUAGUCUAAUCUUAACUGCGGUUUUGAUUAGUAAAGCCGUAAGGCGCGGAAGGUCUGGCCUAAAUCCCAUUAGCUAGUUGGUAGGGUAAUGGCCUACCAAGGCUACGAUGGGUAGCUGUUCUUAGAGGAAGACCAGCCACACUGGAACUGGAACACGGUCCAGACUCCUACGGGAGGCAGCAGUUAGGAAUUUUGCGCAAUGGGGGAAACCCUGACGCAGCAACGCCGCGUGGAGGAUGAAGGCUUUCGGGUUGUAAACUCCUUUUAGCAGGGAAGAAAAAAAUGACGGUAUCUGCAGAAAAAGCACCGGCUAACUCU